UCGAGUGAGGGCCUCCGGGUCCGACCUCCAACCCUUUGAUUUAACCAACUCUUGUUGCCUCGGGGGCGACCCGGUCGCGUCGGCCUCUGCCCGACGUCGGCGUCGGGACCCCCGACGGACCCCGUCACAACUCUGCAUCUUUGCGUCGGGUUGAUCAGAAAAUCAAUUA
rnacentral:misc_RNA from 1 species